CGGCCCGCCAGAGGACCCCUAAACUCUGUUUCUAUAUGUAACUUCUGAGUAAAACCAUAAAUAAAUCAAAACUUUCAACAACGGAUCUCUUGGUUCUGGCAUCGAUGAAGAACGCAGCAAAAUGCGAUAAGUAAUGUGAAUUGCAGAAUUCAGUGAAUCAUCGAAUCUUUGAACGCACAUUGCGCCCGCCAGUAUUCUGGCGGGCAUGCCUGUUCGAGCGUCAUUUCAACCCUCAAGCACAGCUUGGUGUUGGGACUCGCGUUAAUUCGCGUUCCUCAAAUUGAUUGGCGGUCACGUCGAGCUUCCAUAGCGUAGUAGUAAAACCCUCGUUACUGGUAAUCGUCGCGGCCACGCCGUUAAACCCCAACUUCUGAAUGUUGACCUCGGAUCAGGUAGGAAUACCCGCUGAACUUAAGCAUAUCAAUAAGCGGAGGA
rnacentral:rRNA from 1 species